AGCUUAAAUAGUUUAUAAAAACAUCAACUUGUGGCGUUGAGGAUACUGCGUUAGUGGUUUUAAGUUA
rnacentral:tRNA from 1 species